GGACAUAUCUUUGAGUUUGGUGGUACCAAAUUCAUGGUGCUUUAUUUGCGGCUUUAUAGUCAUUUGCUUUUUGGCUGAAGUUCAACUAUCGAUCAUCCUAUUCAAGGUGUUCUUUACCAUCAAAAAAUACUCCUAUAUGAGUGACUGGUGGUACAUCUCUCCUCGAUGAGGAGUCCCUCCUUUGGUUUGAGAUACUCCCUCCUCUAUCCAUAG
rnacentral:lncRNA from 1 species